AUUGAACGCUGGCGGCAUGCUUUACACAUGCAAGUCGAACGGUAACAGGCCGCAAGGUGCUGACGAGUGGCGAACGGGUGAGUAAUGCAUCGGAACGUGCCCAGUCGUGGGGGAUAACUACUCGAAAGAGUAGCUAAUACCGCAUACGAUCUAUGGAUGAAAGCGGGGGACCGUAAGGCCUCGCGCGAUUGGAGCGGCCGAUGUCAGAUUAGGUAGUUGGUGGGGCAAAGGCUCACCAAGCCAACGAUCUGUAGCUGGUCUGAGAGGACGACCAGCCACACUGGGACUGAGACACGGCCCAGACUCCUACGGGAGGCAGCAGUGGGGAAUUUUGGACAAUGGGCGCAAGCCUGAUCCAGCAAUGCCGCGUGCAGGAAGAAGGCCUUCGGGUUGUAAACUGCUUUUGUACGGAACGAAACGGCUCUGGUUAAUACCCGGGGCUAAUGACGGUACCGUAAGAAUAAGCACCGGCUAACUACGUG
rnacentral:rRNA from 1 species